GACGAACGCUUGCGGCGUGCUUAACACAUGCAAGUCGAACGGAAAGGCCCUGCUUUUGUGGGGUGCUCGAGUGGCGAACGGGUGAGUAACACGUGAGUAACCUGCCCUUGACUUUGGGAUAACUUCAGGAAACUGGGGCUAAUACCGGAUAGGAGCUCCUGCUGCAUGGUGGGGGUUGGAAAGUUUCGGCGGCUGGGGAUGGACUCGCGGCUUAUCAGCUUGUUGGUGGGGUAGUGGCUUACCAAGGCUUUGACGGGUAGCCGGCCUGAGAGGGUGACCGGCCACAUUGGGACUGAGAUACGGCCCAGACUCCUACGGGAGGCAGCAGUGGGGAAUAUUGCACAAUGGGCGGAAGCCUGAUGCAGCAACGCCGCGUGCGGGAUGACGGCCUUCGGGUUGUAAACCGCUUUCGCCUGUGACGAAGCGUGAGUGACGGUAAUGGGUAAAGAAGCACCGGCUAACUACGUGCCAGCAGCCGCGGUGAUACGUAGGGUGCGAGCGUUGUCCGGAUUUAUUGGGCGUAAAGGGCUCGUAGGUGGUUGAUCGCGUCGGAAGUGUAAUCUUGGGGCUUAACCCUGAGCGUGCUUUCGAUACGGGUUGACUUGAGGAAGGUAGGGGAGAAUGGAAUUCCUGGUGGAGCGGUGGAAUGCGCAGAUAUCAGGAGGAACACCAGUGGCGAAGGCGGUUCUCUGGGCCUUUCCUGACGCUGAGGAGCGAAAGCGUGGGGAGCGAACAGGCUUAGAUACCCUGGUAGUCCACGCUGUAAACGGUGGGUACUAGGUGUGGGGUCCAUUCCACGGGUUCCGUGCCGUAGCUAACGCUUUAAGUACCCCGCCUGGGGAGUACGGCCGCAAGGCUAAAACUCAAAGGAAUUGACGGGGCCCCGCACAAGCGGCGGAGCAUGCGGAUUAAUUCGAUGCAACGCGUAGAACCUUACCUGGGUUUGACAUGGAUCGGGAGUGCUCAGAGAUGGGUGUGCCUCUUUUGGGGUCGGUUCACAGGUGGUGCAUGGCUGUCGUCAGCUCGUGUCGUGAGAUGUUGGGUUAAGUCCCGCAACGAGCGCAACCCUUGUUCACUGUUGCCAGCACGUUAUGGUGGGGACUCAGUGGAGACCGCCGGGGUCAACUCGGAGGAAGGUGGGGAUGACGUCAAGUCAUCAUGCCCCUUAUGUCCAGGGCUUCACGCAUGCUACAAUGGCUGGUACAGAGAGUGGCGAGCCUGUGAGGGUGAGCGAAUCUCGGAAAGCCGGUCUCAGUUCGGAUUGGGGUCUGCAACUCGACCUCAUGAAGUCGGAGUCGCUAGUAAUCGCAGAUCAGCAACGCUGCGGUGAAUACGUUCCCGGG
rnacentral:rRNA from 1 species